GACAGAGGGUGCGAACGUUGUUCGGAAUUACUGGGCGUAAAGCGCGUGUAGGCGGCUUGGCAAGUCAGUUGUGAAAGCCCGGGGCCCAACCCCGGAACUGCAUCUGAAACUGCCUGGCUAGAGUCCCGGAGAGGAAGGCAGAAUUCCCGGUGUAGGGGUGAAAUCCGUAGAUAUCGGGAGGAAUACCAGCGGCGAAGGCGGCCUUCUGGACGGUGACUGACGCUGAGACGCGAAAGCGUGGGGAGCAAACAGG
rnacentral:rRNA from 1 species